rnacentral:rRNA from 1 species
AGGAAGAGAAAAUAAUAAUGAUUCCCCUAGUAGUGGCGAGCGAACGGGGAAAAGCCCAAACCAUCAUUGUUUCGGCAAUGGUGGGGUUGUAGGACUGCAAUGUGGACUUGUUAUUCAUAGUAGAAUCAUCUGGAAAGUUGAACCAUAGAGAGUGAUAGUCUCGUAAACGAAAUGAAUAGCAUACCUAGCAGUAUCCUGAGUAGCGCGAAACACGUGAAAUUUUGUGUGAAUCUGCCGGAACCAUCCG